CCUACGGGAGGCAGCAGUGGGGGAUAUUGCACAAUGGGGGAAACCCUGAUGCAGCGACGCCGCGUGAGUGAAGAAGUAAUUCGGUAUGUAAAGCUCUAUCAGCAGGGAAGAAAAUAACGGUAGCUGAGUAAGAAGCCGCGGCUAACUACGUGCCAGCAGCCGCGGUAAUACGUAGGGGGCAAGCGUUGUCCGGAAUUACUGGGUGUAAAGGGAGCGGAGACGGCAGUGCAAGUCUGGAGUGAAAGGCGGGGGCUCAACCCCCGGACUGCUCUGGAAACUGUACGGCUGGAGUGCAGGAGAGGUAAGUGGAAUUCCUAGUGUAGCGGUGAAAUGCGUAGAUAUUAGGAGGAACACCAGUGGCGAAGGCGGCUUACUGGACUGUAACUGACGUUGAGGCUCGAAAGCGUGGGGAGCAAACAGGAUUAGAUACCCGAGUAGUC
rnacentral:rRNA from 1 species